GGCGCGAUGGCCGAGUGGUUAAGGCGACAGAUUCGAAUUUCUUUAUCUAUCUGUUCCGGUUUCCGGGCGCAGGUUCAAAUCCUGCUCGCGUCG